UACGUAGGGCGCGAGCGUUAUCCGGAAUUAUUGGGCGUAAAGAGCUCGUAGGCGGUUUGUCGCGUCUGUCGUGAAAGUUCAGGGCUUAACCCUGAAUGUGCGGUGGGUACGGGCAGACUAGAGUGCAGUAGGGGAGACUGGAAUUCCUGGUGUAGCGGUGGAAUGCGCAGAUAUCAGGAAGAACACCGAUGGCGAAGGCAGGUCUCUGGGCUGUGACUGACGCUGAGGAGCGAAAGCAUGGGGAGCGAACAGG
rnacentral:rRNA from 1 species